rnacentral:rRNA from 1 species
GACGUAGGGUGCAAGCGUUGUCCGGAUUUAUUGGGCGUAAAGAGCUCGUAGGCGGCUUGUUGCGUCGACUGUGAAAACCCGCGGCUUAACCGCGGGCUUGCAGUUGAUACGGGCAGGCUAGAGUUCGGUAGGGGAGACUGGAAUUCCUGGUGUAGCGGUGAAAUGCGCAGAUAUCAGGAGGAACACCGGUGGCGAAGGCGGGUCUCUGGGCCGAUACUGACGCUGAGGAGCGAAAGCGUGGGGAUCAAACAGG